UCCGAUAUGGUGUAAUGGCUAACAUUUGACGCUCUCACCGUCAAGCUCCGAGUUCGAUUCUCGGUGUCGGAA